rnacentral:lncRNA from 1 species
UGAUAUCUGGCAGAGUUGAGGAGGGCCAUGUCUCGAGCCUCCUCGAGUUGGUCGACCGCGUUUUCUUGAGUCUCCUUAUUUGAUUGCUCGUUGUACGCUUUGAGUCGAGGGGACCCAUACUCGAGGUCUGUGGGGAGGACAGCCUCAGAGCCAUAGACCAUGAAGAAUGGGGUGUAUUUCGUGGCCCUGCUUGGUGUUGUCCUUAGGCUCCAUAGGACCGAGGAAAGCUCCUCGACCCACUUCCUGCCGAAUUUCUUCAAACGAUUGUAGAUCCUUGGCUUGAGUCCUUGUAAA